UACAGAGGGUGCAAGCGUUGUUCGGAAUUAUUGGGCGUAAAGGGCGCGUAGGCGGCCUUCUAAGUCGAACGUGAAAUCCCUGGGCUCAACCCAGGAACUGCGUCCGAUACUGGAAGGCUUGAGUAUGGGAGAGGUAAGCGGAAUUCCUGGUGUAGCGGUGAAAUGCGUAGAUAUCAGGAGGAACACCUGCGGUGUAGACGGCUUACUGGACCAUCACUGACGCUGAGGCACGAAAGCGUGGGUAGCAAACAGG
rnacentral:rRNA from 1 species